UGAUAAAGAGUCAGAUCACUGAGCUCUGCCA
rnacentral:piRNA from 1 species